rnacentral:rRNA from 1 species
AGCAGUCGCCGCGGGAAUACGUAGGUGGCGAGCGUUGUCCGGAAUCAUUGGGCGUAAAGGGAGCGCAGGCGGGCAUGUAAGUCUUUCUUAAAAGUGCGGGGCUCAACCCCGUGAUGGGAAAGAAACUACAUGUCUUGAGUACAGGAGAGGAAAGCGGAAUUCCCAGUGUAGCGGUGAAAUGCGUAGAUAUUGGGAGGAACACCAGUGGCGAAGGCGGCUUUCUGGACUGCAACUGACGCUGAGGCUCGAAAGCCAGGGGAGCGAACGGGAUUAGAUACCCCCGUAGUCCCUGUCUCUUAUACA